AAAAAGACAAACCCUGAGUUUUCAUGUCCAACGUUUGACCGUCCGUCUUAUUUAAAAAAAAUAUGAAAAAAAAGACAAGUCACACAUAAAGUAUUAAUCAUGUUUUAUCAUCUAACAACAAUGAAAAUACUAAUUAUAAAAAAAUUUCAUAUAAGACGACAGUCAAACGUUGGAUACGAAAACCCAGGGUUUGUCUUUUU
rnacentral:pre_miRNA from 1 species